rnacentral:misc_RNA from 1 species
AGCAGCCGCGGUAAUUCCAGCUCCAAUAGCGCAUAUUAAAGUUGUUGCAGUUAAAAAGCUCGUAGUUGAAUUUCGGGAUCAAUAUGUCGGUCGUGCCUCGGUACGUGCUGGCAUUAUUGGUUUCUCCCUUCUGACGAACCAUGAUGUCAUUAAUUUGGUGUCUUGGGGAAUCAGGACUGUUACUUUGAAAAAAUUAGAGUGUUUAAAGCAGGCUCACACUUGAAUACAUUAGCAUGGAAUAAUGAAAUAGGACGUUUGAUUCUAUUUUGUUGGUUUCUAGGAUCGACGUAAUGAUUAAUAGGGAUAGUUGGGGGCAUUAGUAUUCAAUUGUCAGAGGUGAAAUUCUUGGAUUUAUUGAAGACUAACUACUGCGAAAGCAUUUGCCAAGGAUGUUUUCAUUAAUCAAGAACGAAAGUUAGGGGAUCGAAGACGAUCAGAUACCGUCGUAGUCUUAACCAUAAACUAUGCCGACUAGGGAUCGGAUGAUGUUAAUUUUUUAAUGACUCAUUCGGCGCCUUAC